UACGAAGGGGGCUAGCGUUGCUCGGAAUUACUGGGCGUAAAGCGCACGUAGGCGGCUUUCUAAGUCGGGGGUGAAAUCCUGGAGCUCAACUCCAGAACUGCCUUCGAUACUGGAAGCUCGAGUCCGGGAGAGGUGAGUGGAACUGCGAGUGUAGAGGUGAAAUUCGUAGAUAUUCGCAAGAACACCAGUGGCGAAGGCGGCUCACUGGCCCGGAACUGACGCUGAGACGCGAAAGCGUGGGGAGCAAACAGGG
rnacentral:rRNA from 1 species